UACGUAGGGGGCGAGCGUUGUCCGGAUUUAUUGGGCGUAAAGAGCGUGUAGGCGGCCAGGUAGGUCUGCUGUGAAAACUCGAGGCUCAACCUCGAGACGUCGGCGGAAACCAUCUGGCUAGAGUCCGGAAGAGGAGAGUGGAAUUCCUGGUGUAGCGGUGAAAUGCGCAGAUAUCAGGAGGAACACCGGUGGCGAAGGCGGCAUCCUGGACCGGUAUUGACGCUGAGGCGCGAAAGCCAGGGGAGCAAACGGG
rnacentral:rRNA from 1 species